GACGAACGCUGGCGGCGUGCUUAACACAUGCAAGUCGAACGGUGAAGGGGAGCUUGCUCCCCGGAUCAGUGGCGAACGGGUGAGUAACACGUGGGCAACCUGCCCCAGACUUCGGGAUAACGCUUCGAAAGAGGUGCUAAUACCGGAUACGAACUCCUUGGGCAUCCUGGGAGUUGGAAAGUUUUUCGGUCUGGGAUGGGCCCGCGGCCUAUCAGCUUGUUGGUGAGGUAACGGCUCACCAAGGCGACGACGGGUAGCCGGCCUGAGAGGGCGACCGGCCAGACUGGGACUGGGACACGGCCCAGACUCCUACGGGAGGCAGCAGUGGGGAAUAUUGCGCAAUGGGCGAAAGCCUGACGCAGCAACGCCGCGUGAGGGAUGACGGCCUUCGGGUUGUAAACCUCUUUCAGCAGGGAAGAAGCGAAAGUGACGGUACCUGCAGAAGAAGCACCGGCUAACUACGUGCCAGCCGCCGCGGUAA
rnacentral:rRNA from 1 species